CGUGUGUCAAAUCAAGGUUGUACAGGUGAAUACAUACCAUCAUAUAAGAAGCUUGGGUUACAAAUGACCUUGGUAAAGUGACAUCUCUCAAAAUGUCAAGUCCUUUUAUUUAUUUAUUUUUUACCACUAAAGCCUGCAAUAUUAAUGCUCUGGGGGAAAAAAAAAAGUGCAGUGUUGUACAUCCAUUUAUAUGGAUUAAAGAGAC